GCAGAGUGCCACAGAGAAGGGCAUAAAGGAUGACGCCGCAGCUCCAGAUGUCCACCUCAGGGCCGGCGUACAGCCUGCGUGAAGCUGAUGCUUUCUCAGAGGUUUUGGGAGGCAGUGCCAACCGUCAGGCUGUACCAUCCUACCAAAAUAGGAUCAUCAAGUCACAGACUGGUUUGGGUUGGAAUAAAUGUGUAGAAGAUGGCACCAGAAUCUGCCCUUAAGUUCAUGGCCUGUGAGCAGGUAAGUACAAGGCCAAGGCCACAGAUGAGUCUGGGUGCAGAAGGGUUUGCAGAAGGACAAACUGGAAAAAAAGAGAUGGUUGAGGUAGGUCAGCGAGGCUCGGUGUCUGUCUGUGCUGGCUUCUACAGAUCAAGUGGUUCAUUGGUACUGACCAGGAAAUGCUGAUGAUUCAUGAGCAACUGCUGGCUGGUUUUCUGGCUGGGGCCACUGCACAGAGCAGCAUCUACCUGUUGGAGGUGAGGCAGGUGGUUGAUAGUCCAGCCCAUGAGGGCUCAAGGCAAGGUGUUGAGAUGGGAAUUGUAGCUUAAAAAACGAGUUCUUGGAGAUGACACCAAGUACUACUGUUUGCAUGAUACUUGUAGCCCUGACCAUCACACUCUUAAGAAUGACACUGUCUGUAUAUUUUUCUCCUGUUGAUUCUCCUGGGUCUUGGCCUCUUUUUCCAAGUAAAUAAAGAAAGGACCAGAGGAAAUGGCCAGACGUUGCAGCAGGGGAGGUUUAGAUUGGAUAGUAGGAAGAAUUUUUUCAUUGAAGGAGCCUGCCCAAGGAGGUGGUUGAGUCACCAUCCUUGGAUGAAUUCAAGAAACAUGUAGAUAUGGCACUUCAGGGCAUGCUCUAGUGGCCAAGGUUGUGGGGGUUUUUGUGAGUGUUUUUUGGUGGAGUGUGUGUGGUUGGGUUGGGUUGGGUUGGCUUGGGUUGGGUUUUUUUCAUAGUGAUGGUUGGAGUUGCUGAUCUCAGAGAUCCUUUCCAACCAUGGUGAUUCUGUGAUCAUGUAGAGUGUAGGUGUGGUGCUCAGGGACAUGGUUUAGCACUGGACUCAGCAGAGUUAGGUUAAUGGUUGGACUCAGUGAUCUUAAAGGUCUUUUUUGCAACUAGAACGAUUCUGUGAUUCUGUGAUCUAGUUCUAGCCCCCCUGCAUGGGCAGAGACACCUCCCACUAGACCAGGUUGCUCCAAGCCCCAUCCAACCUGGCCUUGAACACUUCCAGGGAUGGGGCAGCCACAGCUUCUCUGGGCAACCUGUGCCAGUGUCUCACCACCCUCACACUAAAGAAUUUCCUCCUGAUGUCUAGUCUAAAUCUCCCCUCUUUCAGUUUGAAACCAUUCCCCUACCUCCUAUUACUCCAUAACCUUGUAAAAAGUCCCUCCCCAGGUUUCCUCUAGCCUCUUCAGAUACUGGAAGGUGCUCUAAGGUCUCCCUGGAGCCUUCCUUUCUCCAGGCUGAACAGCCCAAAUUCUCUCAGCCCAUCUCCAUUGCAGAGCUGCUCCAGCCCUCUGAUCAUCUUCAUGGCCUCCUCUGGACUCACUUCAACAGCUCCCUGUUCUUCUCCUGCUGGAGACUGCAGAAGUGGACAGAAGUUGAAAUGGAAAUACAGAGAACUCUUCAUGAUGCCUUGGCAUCCUGCACUUGCUCUUCCUGUCCAGCACCACAGCAGACACAUGGUGUAUGAAAAGCACCAGUCAUGCAUGUGGUCAUUCUCUGAACACCACCAAAUCACCAUCUCUGCUUGUCCAAGGGUGAGACUUUCCCUGCUUGAGGCUGGGGAAAGCAGCAAAGUCAUUUUGGAAAUGGGAACAAGCAGCUAGAUGCUUCCCUUGGUCCUGCCUUCACACCCAAUUCCAGCAGAUCAGAAGCUGAUUCUUUUGCUGGUAACUGCAUGGCCUGAACAGCUGAUGGGACUUCGAAGCCCAAAUGAGAUGCCCUUUUACCAUUCUGAAACCUGAGCUGUCAUGCUCUGCUGCUUUUGUGCUCUACCCUCAAAAGAGCAAACACAUUGGCUUGGUUUUGUUUCUCUUUCUUACUUUUCUUGUUAAUAAGCUGCAUUGCCUGUAUCCUUGGAACGACCAGGCUCUGCAUCCUGGGUUAAUUUGCCAUGUGCUUUGUCUCCCAUCUGAACUGAGAAAGACCAUGUACUUCUGGCCUUUAUUGGAAAAGGACAUGGAAACACUGGGUUUUACUGAGUCACUGUUGAGUUUCUGGCUUUGUCUCCCUCUUGACCAUGAGGAUUUACUUGUUUUUUGCACGUAGAGCUGUAGUCACAACAGGGCUUUUUGGAUGCUGGUCUAAUUCCUAGGAUACUCUGCCAACACUUGCACUGGUGUAAACAGGGAUAAAAUAAUCAUAAUCACUGCCAACACACUUUGAACAAAAUGUUGUAUGUGAAAGCUACAGUGAUAGGCAAAAAAAACCACUGGAUUAGGGAAACUAAUGCUCAGGCAAAGGGCAAUUCAAAAAUAUGGGGCAGAUGAUGAGAUGGGCAGUUUGAAACCCUGUAUUUGCAACCCUUGCUGUGUUAUUAUAGAGAGAGUUAGGGAAAUAAGUACAUUCUAUAGGCAACUUAGGUUUCUGACAGUAAAAUUCAGGAGGUAACACUUCUGUAUCAACAUGAUAAAGUCCAGUUCAGCCUGGCAGAGAGUGUUCACCACGCUAUGUGUUGGACACAUGUUGCCUGCUCGGAGAUGCAUCCACACUGGAGGUUUGUCCCUUCAAUUCAUCAAUUCAAAACAAAGUUCUGAUGGUUGAACCUACUGUCAUAAAUAAAACCCCUAGCUUAAGGAACCAGGAGACAAGUAUCUUCAAUACAAGAGUUCAACAGUGUAGGGAAGGGAUUAAAGAUCUCCUUGAUUCCUCUGUUAGUGAAUGGCUGUUCCUCAUUAACGUUAUGUUUUAUAUUAUAGGUGGGCAGGAGAGAAGGGGGUGGCCUGAAAAGGCCUUUCCAUCUGAACCCUCAGUAUCUGCAUCCGAAGAGUAAUUUUCACUCUCUUUAAUUAGCAAUAUAAACAGUCAACAUCUGCUAUUCAUAAUUCCCUCAAAGUAAACAUCUUUAGCAAAACAUGCUUUGCUGUUACAGCUACGGAGAAAUGUAAUAACCAAGAAAACUUUCAGAUUUUUGCCAGUAGAUUCACCCAGACAUAAAACACAGGCUGGAAGGGUUCCACUGCUUUUACUAUGUGUGCAAAGCUGUUUCCAAUCCCAAGAACAAAUUUAUAAACCGUGUGCUCACACAGGCUCUGAUUAGAUGUGGCAUGUCCUACCUUCCAGAGAUGACUUCAGGGGCUGCAUAAUUUGGGGAACCACAGCUGGUGCGUAGAAAUUCACCAUCUGACAUCAUGUUGGACAAGCCUAAAAGCAAGAUGUUUACUAUGUAUGUGGAGCUCCAGCCACCAGAGGACUCUGUGUAGCACAGAGGAGGGGAGGUAUAGCAAGUGAGGGGGUGGAAUUUGAAGACAAACUGCUGAUACAAUUUAGAUAGACUCCUCUGAGCUGAUCUGAUGAUAAUAAUAAUAGUUAUUUUUACAUCCAACCAAGGAGUAUUCACUCCAGGCUACUUUUGCUUUUCUAAGUUGCAAAUCCCAGAGUUUUCUUUCUUUAGCACAGAGGAAAAGAGACAUAAUUCAUCCCAGAGCACUUACUUUAUAUGGGAAUUGAGUGGGGGUUGUGAAAUUAGUAAAUCUUGAAAAGGAUUUAUCACUGCUCAGAAGGACUCAGGAGGACCAAGCUGGUAGCCCAGCUAUUACAAUGAAUCUCAGUCAGUAAUGCCACUUGAAAAGUCCUGGUACUGCUCAUUUGUAGAAUGAAAUGAGGCCAAGAGCACAUGGCCAAACGUCUGGAGGACAUGCAUGAAAAUAAACACAUGCAGCCAGCUCAGCCUGGAAUUAACUGCACUGAGUCUGCCUUAAACAGAAAUUACCUGAAUCUUUAUAUUAGGUGAUUAUACAAAAAGAUGGCAAGUGACCUUGCUGCUCCCUUCUUGAUGCCCACAGUGAGCCAUCCCUGCUUUUGCAGAGAGGCCGGUGUUUAUAACUGUGGGCUUUGCAGGUAAAGCAACUGCUAGUGGUUAGGAAAAGAGGCUCUGGGUUUUGUAAGGCGUGCUCCACCGACACGCUCCAGCAAGCUCCUGGGAGCUGGCUGCAUUUCUGGAAUGCUGCUGGGGUCACAUACCAAAAUCAGCUAUCUUGGCAUUCAUGUGCGCGUCCAGCAGCACGUUCUCCGGUUUCAGGUCUCGGUGGACAACCAUGUGUCUGUGGCAAUAAUCCACUGCCGAGAGGAUCUGCUGGAAAAGGCGUCGAGCUUCUGCCUCUUCAACCUAGGGGUGCAAGGGGAAAGAGUCCUAAAAGUUGGUCUGCCUGUGGAGCUGGCCAGGGAAGGUUUGACUUAGCAAAGGAGCCAAAAUGUUCUGGGGUGCAGAGUGAAAAUUGCAGGGUGCUCGUAAACCGGAGGCAGCAAAUGAAGCAGAUUUCCCCCCUUGCAUUUUAUAAUGUGCUAGUGUUUGCAAAUGAUACAGCCCAGAGAUGAAAUCAGAAACCGAAAUCUAGCUGAGCUAUCAAGGAGAACUGAUGGGUGGCACGUAGGAGGCAAUGGCCUCCCAUCCCAAGGGGACCAGUUCUUCUACACAACACAUGCAGAUGGAGGCUGGACAAAACACUGCAGAGGAUGCUGCAGGGAGAGAUUCCUCACAGACAGAUGGGUUGGGGGAAAAAAAGCUAAAGGCAGAAUAUUGCAAUUGCAAUUGAUUUUAAUCAGCUAUAUAGCUAUAUUAGCUGUAAAACUGUAUGAGCUAUAUUACAGAAAUGAUAUUGAAAAUUAUGAGGUGACUGGUUAUUUUUUCUGACGACUUCCUAAAGACCCUCUUAAUGAAAGAUCUAGUUUCUGAAAGCAAAAGUUCAGCAAAGACCCAAAUUAGUCACUGAAAAGAUGCAAAUGGGUAAAAUGUGCUGGAAAUCAGAACUGUAGGUGGAAAAGUAAAUGGAGUCAGAUCCAUCAACUAGCACACUAAUCUAAACCAAUUUAUUAUAAAUGUAUUGAUUUUUGCAGUACAGAGAGGAAACGUGUGAUGGGCUGAUCCUUCACCUGAAGCCUUUUUCUGGAAGUCUCCUUGAGCCCAUUUUUAUCUCCUUGCCCUGCCACUGCUCCCUGCCUACCAGGAUGCCCUCGGGCCAGACAUUAAUGAUUUGCUUUGUAACCAUGAUAUCAAAUUUCAUGGGCUCAGGUGAUUUAUACCCAGCAGGAUUACUGGCAUUUGAAAAUGUUGUUCAGAUAAGCCACAUCCUUAAAAAGGCUUCCAAAGAACCUGAUGUGGAGCCAAGGGGGAGGCAAAUGGCCAGGAUGGAGACCACACCGAGGGCUCUUCCCCCCCUGGUGCCCUGUGCACAUGUAAAUCUGCUGCUGAACCAUAGGGGUUUUGACAGGCAACCCAUAGUUAAGAGAUACAAAAAUAUGCUAGUUUUCCAAAUAUUUGCACUAAGCAACACGUUCCCUUGGAUAUUUUGGUCUGUGUAUCAAAAUACAUGAGGGAACGUUGCAAAAACCCGCACGCAACUUUUGUGCGAGCCGGGUACGAGACACUCCAGAUGGGAUCGCUGUGAAGCAACUUCUAUUUUGGGCCUUAGCCUUAACUGUGUUCCCUUUAGCAGUUGUUUUGCUUCUAAACACCAUCUUCUUCCCACACAAGUGUUUGGGCUGACACACUGCUGGCACUUACACGUCCGUGUUUACAGAUGUAAUCAAAUAACUCCCCGCCGGAUACGUAUUCCAUGACCAUGAAGAAGUCCGUUGGUGUGCUGAUGACCUGGUACCUUCAAAAACACAAGCAGAUUUAGAAAAAAAUAAACUAAGAACCAAGAAAGGCUUUUGAACAUAUUACUAGUUUCAUAUCAACCCUUCAAAUAAGGAUUUGUUUGGACUUUGCAUUUUAUAAUUGCUUUCAACUUCUUAUUUCCAUCUCUUAUGUCAAAUAUAAUCUUUCACUUGUCUAUGAAAGAAUCUCUUUUACAGACCCACAGUUCUCCUUCAAGCUUUUAAAUAAUCCUCUGAAAUCUCUACCAGACAAUCCCAUCAUAUUUAGAAGUGUUCUGACUUUCACUUUUUUUUUGCUGAGAUCUACAACUACAGCUUUAGAAAUGAAGGCUUCAUUAACUGGGGACAGGGAGGGGGAAUAUUUUGUUUCCCUCAUAUCAAGGAUAAAGAAGAUGAACUCUUAGACACCAGAGGGUGCUUCUUUUGCAAAGGUAUGGAAACAAAAAUCAGCUCCCCAAAAAUUAUUUUUUCAAAUAUUAAAUCCCUCAAUAUUCUAGAAUGGGGAAAAAAAUAAUUAAAAAAAAAAAUAAUAAUAUCACCCUUGACUUGCAAAUUUAUCUUCCAUUCAAAGGCAUUUUGGUGUCCCAGCUGCUCUAGAGUGCCAGUGAUCCACUGAGGUCAAGGCAGCUACAGGAGUUCACAGCAGCACCAGCUGAGCCCUCUCUGUUUUAUUUUAGGCUCGUUGUUUGUUUUUGUUUUGUUUUUUCUUUUGCAGCUGAAUUUCUGUGGGUUGCAAUUUGAAAUAAACAGAUUUCAAACAAUUUUCAAGGAUCAGCAAGUGAACAGGGGAUGGUCCCACCAUAAAAACCAACACAGAGCAACUUAAUUUUUCUGCAGUGCUUCCGACCCAGACAUCUAAGGGAGAAACAGUAACCACAAACUGGGAGUAGCACCACUAUCACUGGGGGGAACUGCACCGACUUAGCAAUAAUGUGAAAUGAAUUCAGCAGUUGAUCCCUUUGCUAUCAACAGACUCUACAAAGACAGAGCACCCAAGAAGCAAGAUUCAUAGUGAAGUUAUCAGCAGAAACUGCUUGAAGACUGUCAGUUGGGUGUUUAUAUCUACAAGAGUUCUCUGGCCAUGACCCUUCUCGGUAUUUUCUGAUGCAAUAUUAAAAAUGGUGACAUACGGAUGGUUUCUUAAAGACUGCACAGAAAACCUGCUCACGGUAAAUAUUUGUGCUAAUGAUGAAUGUUACCCUGCCAGUAAAAACACAGAGCACAAGGAGUUAAUAAUUAGGAGGAAACCUUGUUGUUACAUGAUCAGACUGUCAUUUUGGAGGCUCUGAUGAGCUGAGCAGAAGCAAAGAGUGUAAGCAGGCAGUGUGAGAAGGGCAGGGCAGCAGUGCCGGCUCGGCGCGGGGCACGCCAGGUCACUAUUAUUAGCCACCAGAUAAGACCUGCUGGAGAUUCUUUCCUCAGUAAGAGCAUCCUAAAAAUAAAACACUUCACUGCCCUUGAAAAUUAAAGCAGCGCUUUGCAUGUCCAUUUUAUUCCUCUCACUACUUAAAACUACUCGAUGAAAUGAAAAUAAACUAAGCUUUGCAGUAUAGAUGCAAUUUAGGGAUUAGCCGAGGGCUGGAGGAGGCAGAUAAUUCCUCUUGUGCGGUGCAAGGAGAGUGCUGUAAAUAGCCUGAGGAGGCAUUUUCCCUGGUGCAUCCCUGGAGAGAGGAGAGCAGGGAGUGCUGGGCCUGCCCUAUGGCCGGGGGGGCUUUGCUGAAGCCAGGCUCUGCAAAGCAAAGGUACAAAAGCUUGACAAGCUUUGCUGGGACUUGACACGGGGUUGUUCACUGCAAGAACUUCUCCCCAGCAGUAGUCUUAGAAAGGGCACUGAUCUCUCUUGGCCAAGGCUGUCAUGGAAUGUGACACCACGAUAGAAGGGUGUUAAGACAACUCCAGCAGAUGUCUUUGAGAUCACGUCUUUUACGAGCAGUAGUUGAUUUGGUCAACUACCCCUGCUCUUUCUGUCCUGCAAGCACAAGAAACUGGGCUUUGAAAGCUGCCCUUGAUUCAAUCAGCUCCAUUAAAGAAUUCUAACACAUGAAGCCAUCAGUUGGGAAACUAAGGAACAGCAAAGCAAAGAGGCUUAUUGCUGAACUAGGAAGAAACUCCUGAUUUCUGCCAUCCUCUGUUUCAAGACAACUCCUUCUGGCAUUAUCCCUGCACAUGCUUUGAAAAAUUUUUAUUAUACACUUGGGAAAAAAAAAAAAAAAAGGCCAUGCCUGGAAUGAAUAAUUAUUGUUUUUAGUACCAUUGCUGAAGAGUUCAUCUCCUUCCCAUCCUUGACAAACAUCAUGUAACUCUGUGAAGGUUUGCUAGCUCCAACACAUUAAUAAUUAAAAAUAAACAGUCUAUUUUGUAAUCCAUCUUUUGCUUACAGUAAGCAUUAGAUACAGAGAUCUUACUGUUUCAGUCUCCAGUGGCUUGUUAAGCCUAAUCGAGCGCCUUGAGAGAUGGAGAGAAUGCAAUUUGCUGUGUGGUGGGAGACUUUUAAGCCUUUCAGGUCUCUCCAGCUGCAGCCUGUAUGAAGAUGCAGGGAUUUUGACAUGGGGCAGUAAGGACAACCUUCCCUCUGCUCACGGAGUCACUGCCUCUGACCCCAUGUGCUGGAGCACGUUGAUGGGAUGAUCUGGCCCAGGGAUCAGGAGCAGUGGUAGCUCCUGUGCCUCCCACAUGCAUGGAAGGGGAUGUUCAUGCGGCUCAUCUCUACUGGCUUUGUCCUCUCCUUGCCCCAAGGAUGGGCAGUGGUGGUCUCGGGGGGUGGUGAGGAACCUUCUCCUUCCCUCCCACUACCUCCCUGGCUUAAAAGCAGAGGAGGAGUGAGGGCUGAGCAGCAGCAUUAGAGAGAGGAUUAUGAGCAUCUGUCUUGUCUUUCAGUGACAAGUACUCAGGUAAGCUCCACAGCAGCUCAACACCAACAAUGAGGACUCUGCUGAGGCAGAGCAAGGAGAACAGAUUUGACACUGAGAUGAGAAGCAGCAUUACACGAUGUGCCACAGAAAAUCCCAAGCACAAGGGUUAGGUGGUCAUGCUGAGCCUAAACUCCAAAAACCAGCACCAAAUGGGACACGGUGUGAGUCUCCUUAGCUGCCACCCCAUCUGCUUGCAAGUGUGACUGCCUGGGCACCAGAAAGCUUCAGCAUCAGGUGCUAUUAAGGAAAUAUGGGAAGGACAAUAAUAGAAUUAGUUGCUGAAAGAAGACUCUUCUAAUUCAGUUCUUUUUAUAAGAGAAAAGAUGAGGAGGAAUAGUGUUUGUCCUACAGUAAGCUGAGAUAAUAAUUAAAACCCCUUGGCAGCAAGAUUUUUUACAGUAGUUUCCAAUGAAGCCUGCCCCUCAGUGCAUGAUUGAUGCAGCCCAGGUAGCACAAACAGAUUUUUUGCAAAUGCUUCAGGAGAAUGUAAAAGUUUAGCGAGGGGUGAGAAAACUCCUUUCCUAUCAGCUGUGCUGGCCCUUCUCAAAGUUAAAAAUGAAAUCCAUCCAAAGCAUAUAUUUAACAAGGCUGUAUUAAUUAUGCCCUACACCUACUUGCUCAGAUAUUAUAUCAUCCUUCCCUUCAUCUGUUCCACCUCCUUUCAUUUAUUUUCCUCAAACACAAGGUCUGUCCUUCAGUGGCAAUGGUACAGUGCCUGGGAAGAUGGAAUCUGACCCCAACUUGAGCCCACGGAGGUGCCAUCAUCACCAACGUGAACAUAACCCAAGCUCUGCCAGUCCUUGAAGGGCUGCAAACUGGUCACCUUGGUGGCCAACAAGGGUGGGUAACAAACCACCAAGUGGCAACAAGGGACGUCGUAUGUGGCACCCCAUGAGAAAUACUUGUGUUACACCACUGGAUUUUGAUUGAAGUUCUCCAAGCUGCAACCACCAUGAGCCCCAACGCGAGAGGACUGUGGUCACGGGAGAGCUCUUUGGGGACCUGCAAGGUGGGAUGUGCCCAGGACAAACACAGCAGCAAUUUGUCUAAUCUGUUCUUAGCAACCACCAGUGGAGGAGAUGCCACCCCCUUUCUUCAUUGCUUCGCUAAACUCAAAAUCCAAGAUAAUUUCCACAGUUCUGCUUCCUGCAAGUUAACCUUAUCUUUGGCCUGGAGCACAGGGAAAAUAACCAUCACCAGCCCUCUCUGUGUUUGGCUAAAUCCUGUGUAGUAACACUGACCAUUGGCACAGGACCCCCUAUCCCUCCACCACAUUCACACCCACCACGUCAACUUGGGCCACCUUCUUCUAUUGUAAAAAAUGAUGCAUUUUCAGCACCAUUUCCAGCUGGAAUUUCAGUACCAGCACCAAAAUCCUGCUCUCAUCUGCCAACCUAUUUGCUCCUGUCUGUGUCUUGUAUGGUCUUUCUAGACACAAGAUGAAGAAACUCAAUGAGCUUAAAACUAACCAUCUCUUGCAGCAUUUAGCUAUUUUUUAGGAUGAUCAGUUCGCCAAUGACCCAGGCAGUGCUGAGCCAGAACAAACAUCCCAACAGGGCAGCAGGGACUUUCCCUGCAAUAUCAAUGGUUCUGGCAGCUCCAAGUGACUAUUCAGCUCCAGCCACAAAUUCCAGCUCUGGUAAGUACCCCACUGCCACUUAAUCCUUCCCUUCAUAGCCAUUUUUUUCAUUUCCCAUAAUUAUUGUAAUCCUUAACAAUUGUAAUUUAUGAUUUCUUAGCCUUGGGGAGUAAGGCAUGAAGAAGUGACUCUUACAAAGUCUUGUGUAAGGCAGGGUUUGAAGAAAACACAUCACUGAUGGCACCAGCCCUCUUAGUGAAAAAGCAACUAUUAUACACAACAUAUACAAACCUUGAACCAAUUCAGACAAAAGUCUCUUUGCUUUUCUCAUGUUUCUUGCUAAGCAGGGUGAAUACAGGUUUUUCUAGAGCUUAUUUGAUUAAAAUGCUACAAAAUCCUG